GUCCCUGUCGAUUAGUGGUUAAAUCAUCACGUUGUGGCGUUGCCCGCAAGUCCGUGAAGCCGGGAGCUCGAAUCUCCCCAGGGACA